rnacentral:rRNA from 1 species
CCUGAUGGUCAAUGGGUGAGUAACGCCUACUUGACCUACCUUUUAGACUGGGGUAACUACUGGUGACCUGCGCUGAUACCGGACAUGUAUAUGAAUCGCAUGUUUCAUAUAUGAAAGGGGCGUUUGCCCUGCUAAACCAUGGGAGUGCGGCAUAUUAGAUAUUUGGUGGGGUAAUGGCCUACCUGGUCAAUGAUAGGCUCCCCAGUUGAAAAACUGAUCGGCCGCCCUGGAACAGAAAUACCGCCCAUACUCCUGCGGCAGGCACCAGAAUGGAAUUUUCCGCAAUGAUGGAAAACUUGGCGGAGCGGUACCACGCGAGAGACGAACGUCUUCCGAGCGUAAACUUCUGUUAUAAGGUAAAAAAAACUCUCGGAGGAAAUGCCUUGGAUCUCACUGUACCUUAUUACAAUUGGACGGCUAACUAUGUGCCACCCCCCGCGGUAAUACAUAGGUCACAAGCGUUAUCCGGAAUUAUUGGGCGUAAAGCGUUCGUACGGGGUUUAUUAAGUCUGCAGUUAAAGCCUGGGGCUCAACCCCAGCCCGCUCUGGAUACUGAU